rnacentral:lncRNA from 1 species
AUUCUGGGAGACGUGAUGGAGCUCUUCGGGAGGUGCCUGUGGAGUGGAGUUCCUGCCACCCACUGCUGCAGCCUUGAUAAUGGACAGGGAUAUUGACUUCUUUCUCACUCACCCAGUUCCUCACUCCUGCUUCCUGCUGUCACAUGCCAGAAUAAACUAGAGCCUCCCAAGUCCAUCUCAGCUCUGCUUUCAGGAGAACAAAGUCCUGAAGGAGGCUGCUGUUCAGUGUGGUGUUGUCCAAGAGACCCGGUGUGAGCCACAUGCCAGCUUACAGAUUUCCAGCAGCCACAGUAGAACCAUCAAGAGAAAUAGGUGAAAUUAAUCCUAUAAAUAUAUUUAAUCCAAUAUUCUCCCAAUGUUGCAUUUAACAUGGAACCAACGUAGAAUAUGAUUAACGCGGUAUUUUACAUUUUUUCAUACUGAGGCUUCAAAAUUUGGUGGGUAAUUUAUAAUUUACCCGUUAGGCCCAUCUCAAUUUAAACAUUAAAUUUGUAUUGGAAAUAUAUGAUCUGUAGGAAGAUUUCAUAAAACUUUUUGAAAAAGUAUAUUUCUUUACCCAAG